GGUUGGUCUGUCUGCAGUGGUGUUUACAACUAAUUGAUCACAACCAAUUAUAGAUUGCUUUGUUCCUUCUCCACUCCCACUGCUUCACUUGACCAGCCUUAA
ensembl:misc_RNA Y_RNA Y RNA